GAUGAACGCUGGCGGCGUGCUUAACACAUGCAAGUCGAACGAAGCACUUAUCUUUGAAUCUUCGGAUGAAGAGGUUUGUGACUGAGUGGCGGACGGGUGAGUAACGCGUGGGUAACCUGCCUCAUACAGGGGGAUAACAGUUAGAAAUGACUGCUAAUACCGCAUAAGACCACGGAGCCGCAUGGCUCAGUGGGAAAAACUCCGGUGGUAUGAGAUGGACCCGCGUCUGAUUAGGUAGUUGGUGGGGUAACGGCCUACCAAGCCAACGAUCAGUAGCCGACCUGAGAGGGUGACCGGCCACAUUGGGACUGAGACACGGCCCAAACUCCUACGGGAGGCAGCAGUGGGGAAUAUUGCACAAUGGGGGAAACCCUGAUGCAGCGACGCCGCGUGAGCGAAGAAGUAUUUCGGUAUGUAAAGCUCUAUCAGCAGGGAAGAAAAUGACGGUACCAGAGGAGGAAGCCACGGCUAACUACGUGCCAGCAGCCGCCGCCG
rnacentral:rRNA from 1 species